UAUAUGUUUAGUGUUAUAGAGUAAGGUGUUCCUAUUGCAGAUUGUGCUAGGUGUACUGGUAGUUGCUUAUGAGUUUCUGCAUGUUGGUUAUUAAGCUAUUUAUAGCGAUUAUUCAAAAUAUUUAAAAUAUGUUGCUUGCUAGUAAGAUGGCUAGCUCAGGUGCAGGCAUCAUUUAAGUGUAUACAUCGUGGUGAGCCUAAUGUGUAGCGUUCUUAUUAGGUGAUGCCAAGUCCAGGUUUAACCGAUCCCCAUCAGCCUUAGGUUUGGUGCCCGAAGUAGUGGUCGGUGGGGGUCCCCCCAGUCGAUGUUCUUCCAGUUCCCAGCCGGAAUGUGGUCCGAGGGUAAGGUGGCAAAAGUCCCCUGACCUGUGGUGAGACUGCUGUGGGCUUGUUGUCUCUGGCUGGGGUUGUGGAGCUGGUGGUUGCUGGGGUCUGCGGUUGGGGCGAUUUGGUAAGGUAAGGCCCCCCCCUUGCUUCCCAUCUCUAUCAAGCAGAGGUGUUGGGCU